CAAAAAUGGAUAGAUGCAUGUAAACGUGCAGAUUCGUUUUCCGUUGAAAAUGCUCGUGUCUGCUCAAUACAUUUUACUGAUUCGGAUUAUGAAAGGGAUUUGAAAAGUGAACUGUUGAACAUUCCUUCGAAACGCAAAUUGAAGACUGAUGCUGUUCCAACACUAAAUCUACCGUCUUCCGGUGCCGGUAUAGGGUUUAGUAUUGAGCGUAAUGGUGAGAGAGAUGUGCGGGAACAAAAACGAAGCUACCGCCAAGAGGAUAUUGUACAGAAGACUGCACAGGGAGAACAUCGAAGUCCUGUAUGUGGUGUGACUGCCAUCAAACAGGAGCCAGUGGAGGCUCUCCCACUCACAUUUCCGAAGCAAGAGAUGGAGCUUCUGCCUGUUAAGGAAGAACCUUUGG